rnacentral:rRNA from 1 species
UACGGAGGGUGCAAGCGUUAUCCGGAUUCACUGGGUUUAAAGGGUGCGUAGGUGGGCUUGUAAGUCAGUGGUGAAAUCUCCGGGCUUAACUCGGAAACUGCCAUUGAUACUAUCUUUCUUGAAUACCGUGGAGGUCAGCGGAAUAUGUCAUGUAGCGGUGAAAUGCUUAGAUAUGACAUAGAACACCAAUUGCGAAGGCAGCUGGCUACACGAAUAUUGACACUGAUGCACGAAAGCGUGGGGAUCAAACAGG